UGAGCUAAUACCGGAUAAUAUUUCUAACCGCAUGGUUCGAUAGUGAAAGAUGGCUCUGCUAUCACUUAUAGAUGGACCUGCGCCGUAUUAGCUAGUUGGUAAGGUAACGGCUUACCAAGGCAACGAUACGUAGCCGACCUGAGAGGGUGAUCGGCCACACUGGAACUGAGACACGGUCCAGACUCCUACGGGAGGCAGCAGUAGGGAAUCUUCCGCAAUGGGCGAAAGCCUGACGGAGCAACGCCGCGUGAGUGAUGAAGGUCUUCGGAUCGUAAAACUCUGUUAUUAGGGAAGAACAAACGUGUAAGUAACUGUGCACGUCUUGACGGUACCUAAUCAGAAAGCCACGGCUAACUACGUGCCAGCAGCCGCGGUAAUACGUAGGUGGCAAGCGUUAUCCGGAAUUAUUGGGCGUAAAGCGCGCGUAGGCGGUUUUUUAAGUCUGAUGUGAAAGCCCACGGCUCAACCGUGGAGGGUCAUUGGAAACUGGAAAACUUGAGUGCAGAAGAGGAAAGUGGAAUUCCAUGUGUAGCGGUGAAAUGCGCAGAGAUAUGGAGGAACACCAGUGGCGAAGGCGACUUUCUGGUCUGUAACUGACGCUGAUGUGCGAAAGCGUGGGGAUCAAACAGGAUUAGAUACCCUGGUAGUCCACGCCGUAAACGAUGAGUGCUAAGUGUUAGGGGGUUUCCGCCCCUUAGUGCUGCAGCUAACGCAUUAAGCACUCCGCCUGGGGAGUACGACCGCAAGGUUGAAACUCAAAGGAAUUGACGGGGACCCGCACAAGCGGUG
rnacentral:rRNA from 1 species